GGGGAAUAUUGCACAAUGGGCGCAAGCCUGAUGCAGCCAUGCCGCGUGUAUGAAGAAGGCCUUCGGGUUGUAAAGUACUUUCAGCAGUGAGGAAGGCGGAGUCGUUAAUAGCGGCCUCGUUUGACGUUAGCUGCAGAAGAAGCACCGGCUAACUCCGUGCCAGCAGCCGCGGUAAUACGGAGGGUGCGAGCGUUAAUCGGAAUUACUGGGCGUAAAGCGCAUGCAGGUGGUUUGUUAAGUCAGAUGUGAAAGCCCGGGGCUCAACCUCGGAAUUGCAUUUGAAACUGGCAGACUAGAGUACUGUAGAGGGGGUAGAAUUUCAGGUGUAGCGGUGAAAUGCGUAGAGAUCUGAAGGAAUACCGGUGGCGAAGGCGGCCCCCUGGACAGAUACUGACACUCAGAUGCGAAAGCGUGGGGAGCAAACAGGAUUAGAUACCCUGGUAG
rnacentral:rRNA from 1 species